UACGUAGGGUGCAAGCGUUGUCCGGAUUUAUUGGGCGUAAAGAGCUCGUAGGCGGUCUGUCGCGUCGGAUGUGAAAACCCAGGGCUACAACCCUCGGGCCUGCAAUUCGAUUAACGGGCAGACUAGAGUACGGCAGGGGAGACUGGAAUUCCGUGGUGUAGCGGUGAAAUGCGCAGAUAAUCAGGAGGAACAGCCGGUGGCGA
rnacentral:rRNA from 1 species